GACGAACGCUGGCGGCGUGCCUAAUACAUGCAAGUCGAACGCAGUGGGGACGGGUGAGUAACACGUGGGUAACCUCCAAUCAGAGGGGAUAACACUUGGAAACAGGUGCUAAACCGAUACUGAUGGAUGGACCCGUGGUGCAUUAGCUCGUUGGUGAGGUAACGGCUCACCAAGGCCACGAUGCAUAGCCGACCGGAGGGGGGUCUCGGCCACACUGGGACUGAGCCACGCCCCAGACUCCUACGGGAGGCAGCAGUAGGGAAUUUUCGGCAAUGGACGAAAGUCUGACCGAGCAACGCCGCGUGAGUGAAGAAGGUUUUCGGAUCGUAAAGCUCUGUUGUUAGAGAAGCGGUAUCUAACCAGAAAGCCACGGCUAACCACGUACCAGCAGCGCGGUAAUUC
rnacentral:rRNA from 1 species